AGAGAGAGACAUGCGCGCAUAUCAAUAAGCGGAGGAAAAGAAACUAACAAGGAUUCCCUUAGUAACGGCGAUGUGAAGCGGGAAGAGCUCAAAUUUGAAAUCUUCAAGGUUUUACCUUGACGAAUUGUAGUUUAAAGAAGUGUUUUCUGCUGAAGUUUUGGUAAAAGUUCUUUGGAAUAGGACAUCAUAGAGGGUGAGAAUCCCGUAUUUGACCAUUAUUUUCAGCUUUGUGAUACACUUUCAAAGAGUCGGAUUGUUUGGGAAUGCAGUCCAAAAUGGGUGGUAAAUUUCAUCUAAAGCUAAAUAUUGGCGAGAGACCGAUAGCGAACAAGUACCGUGAGGGAAAGAUGAAAAGAACUUUGAAAAGAGAGUUAAACAGUACGUGAAAUUGUCAAAAGGGAAGCGUUUGACACCAGUGUUGUUUUCUCGAAAAUCAAUUAAAAAUGGCUCGAUUUUGUAUUGCUGAGACCUUAAAAGCUCACUGUACAUUUUUCGUGUCUUUUUUAAUGCACUUUUCGUUUAACAAGUCAACAUCAGUUUCUUUUGUUGUAAAAGGGUCAUUGGAAGGUGGCUUUCUUUUCGGAGAAAGUGUUUAUAGCCUUUGGCCUCUGCAAUCGGAAGAGACUGAGGUCUGCAGCGUAGACUCUUCGGGGUUAGAUACAUUUGUGCUAAGUUAUAGCUUUUUAUAGACAACUUGUUGACUAUAAUUAGUCUUGUAGCUUACUCGCUUAUGCUAUUUUACCUACGCUUAGGAUGUUGAAGAUGUAGCACAUCAU
rnacentral:rRNA from 1 species